UACGAAGGGGGCUAGCGUUGCUCGGAAUUACUGGGCGUAAAGGGCGCGUAGGCGGCUCUGUUAGUCAGGCGUGAAAGCCCUGGGCUCAACCUGGGGACUGCGCUUGAUACGGCGGGGCUUGAGUGCAGGAGAGGCUCGCGGAAUUCCCAGUGUAGAGGUGAAAUUCGUAGAUAUUCGCAAGAACACCAGUGGCGAAGGCGGCUCACUGGCCCGGUACUGACGCUGAGGUGCGAAAGCGUGGGGAGCAAACAGG
rnacentral:rRNA from 1 species